UACGAAGGGGGCUAGCGUUGCUCGGAAUCACUGGGCGUAAAGCGCACGUAGGCGGAUUGCUAAGUCAGGGGUGAAAUCCUGGAGCUCAACUCCAGAACUGCCUUUGAUACUGGCGAUCUUGAGUCCGGGAGAGGUGAGUGGAACUGCGAGUGUAGAGGUGAAAUUCGUAGAUAUUCGCAAGAACACCAGUGGCGAAGGCGGCUCACUGGCCCGGUACUGACGCUGAGGUGCGAAAGCGCGGGGAGCAAACAGG
rnacentral:rRNA from 1 species